UACGAAGGGGGCUAGCGUUGAUCGGAAUCACUGGGCGUAAAGCGCGCGUAGGCGGCUUUUUAAGUCAGGGGUGAAAUCCUGGAGCUCAACUCCAGAACUGCCUUUGAUACUGAGAAGCUUGAGUCCGGGAGAGGUGAGUGGAACUGCGAGUGUAGCGGUGAAAUUCGUAGAUAUUCGCAAGAACACCAGUGGCGAAGGCGGCUCACUGGCCCGGUACUGACGCUGAGGUGCGAAAGCGUGGGGAGCAAACAGG
rnacentral:rRNA from 1 species